UCAAGGCAGGAGAAGGACCUUGUAACCACGUGACUGAUGAAUGUACAGCCAACUCCACUUGUACUGGUGUCGGUGGUACAUGCAAUUGUAGCGAGGGAUAUUACGACUACGGGGAUACUUGUGUAGCAAAAAUCAAGGCAGGAGAAGGACCUUGUUACCACGUGACUGAUGAAUGUACAGCCAACUCCACUUGUACUGGUGUCGGUGGUACAUGCCAUUGUAGCGAGGGAUACUACGACUACGGGGAUACAUGUGUAGCAAACUUUUAUCUAGAAUAUCAACAUGAACAGCACAUGUAAGUAGAGAGAAAAUGGAUGACAUGGUCAUUUCAUAUUACUGACAAGAACAGGUAAUUAUUCAUGAAAAUCGAAGAUUAAUGCUUCAACAGCUUUUUCCAUUCAGUUGUUAAAUGCGCUUAUUCAACUACCUAGCCCUAACAGGUAAGUACACUAGGGAAUUGGAUACUUAUGUUUCAAAUAUUCUUUUUAUUGCUUUGUUAUAUAUCUUACGCACCUACCUAAUCAUAAUAGGCAAAUAAAUCGGGGAAUCAGAAUUUAAUGCUUCAAAUAAACUGCCUUAUCUACCUCCCUGGCCUGAAUAUAUGUAAGUAUACAGGGUAAGGGAGACUAACGCUUUUACUCGACGUAAUAUUGAUUAAUAUACUAACAUGCAUUAUAACCUUAUACGUGUUCUAGCGGUCAAACAAUUGAAUAGGAAAAUGUUUUGAUUAAAAUCUAUAUGCAUUUUCCCGU